AGGUGGAUUAGUGGCGCACGGGUGAGUAACGCAUAGGUAAUAUGCCCCAUAGUCUGGGAUAGCCACUGGAAACGGUGAUUAAUACUAGAUACUCCCUACGGGGGAAAGAAUUUCGCUAUGGGAUUAGCCUAUGUCCUAUCAGCUUGUUGGUGAGGUAAUGGCUCACCAAGGCUAUGACGGGUAUCCGGCCUGAGAGGGUGAACGGACACACUGGAACUGAGACACGGUCCAGACUCCUAUGGGAGGCAGCAGUAGGGAAUAUUGCUCAAUGGGGGAAACCCUGAAGCAGCAACGCCGCGUGGAGGAUGAAGAUUUUAGGAUUGUAAACUCCUUUUGUUAGAGAAGAUU
rnacentral:rRNA from 1 species